GGAUUAGAUACCCUGGUAGUCCUAGCCGUAAACGUUGUACACUAGGUGGGGGGAGAGUUGAUCCUCUCCCUGCCCAAGCUAACGUGAUAAGUGUACCGCCUGGGGAGUACGGCGGCAACGCUAAAACUCAAAGGAAUUGACGGGGGCCCGCACAAGCGGUGGAGCAUGUGGCUUAAUUCGAGGCAACGCGAAGAACCUUACCUGGGUUUGACAUAUAGGGGACCGACUGUGAAAGCAGUUUUCCCUUCGGGGCCGCUAUACAGAUGCUGCAUGGCUGUCGUCAGCUCGUGCCG
rnacentral:rRNA from 1 species